AUCUUGUUUCGUAUGACAAGCAAUGCUUGCCACACGCAUCAGGUGAAUUUAAAAAAAUAAUAAAUUUUAAAUUGACCUGAUGAGUGUGGCAAGCAUUGCUUGUAUUUUUUUUAAAUUCACCUGAUACGUGUGGCAAGCAUUGCUUGUCAUACGAAACAAGUUUG